GCCUGGGUGGCUUCGUCGGUUAAGCAUCCGACUUUGGCUCAGGUCAUGGCCUUGCAGUUCGUGGGUUCGAGCCCCACAUUGGGCU
rnacentral:tRNA from 1 species